GUUUAUACAAAAUACAGUCAUGUACUUUAAAAAUGUACAUAACAUCUUUUCAUUCAGUUUACAUUUUAAAAAAGGAACAACGGUAAUUUCAAAGACUUUCUGCUUACAUGUCAUGUAAACAUUGUUCUGGGCCCAUGUUAUUUACUAAAAUUGUAUCCACUCGUGGAGAUUUUCAUGAUCAUAUAGAUGCUUUCAGACUGAGAGUCAGAUCUGCCAAACUGAUUUCUUGAGCUGCGCAUGUGAUCAGAUUGGCUGGAUUCCAGGCCAAAUGAGAUCCUCUAGAGACAUAAGCGCAGUUUCAUAGCAAUAUGAAGUUGUAGAUGUACACAUUUCAUUUUGAUACAUAUCUGUGUGGACCUGUUAAUUGACCCCGGCGUAUCCACAUACUUCUGUUAUGAAGGAUCAUGGGGGAGGAGCAUAUAUGCCCCCAAGGGCAGUGACCUCUACUCAGGAAAGUCACUAAUGCCCCAGUGCAGUGGCUGACAUGUAGAACACCCAUCUUUGGGGCUUGCCGAGUCAGCCACCCUGUGAAGAAGUGCCAGGAUGCACAAGUUCAGUACCUACAGAUUUGAAAAUAUGUUUAGCCUAUGUUUUGACAAAAGGUACUCUUCAGUAGAAUUUGAGGAUCAUGUGGGGAAAAAAAUAUAAAGGAAGGGAAUUAAUCAAAGGAAAAGAAAGCACAUUCUGGUUUCUGCUAAACCCAUGGGUUUCUGAGGAAACUACUUCAGCGUUUUAGUCUAGUUUUGUCCCAACCUAUUGGUUUAACCAAAUGGAUAUUAUGAAAGAAUAUCACAGAGGUGUUGGUCUUGGUGCAGAAACCACCUCUCUUCUCAAAAGAAAAAUCCUCGGGAAGCAAUAUUCAGGAAUACUUGUCUUGAGAUCAAAGCCAAUUUAGACUACAAUCAGAUUUUCACAAAGCAGUUAAGCAUUUAUGGCAUUCAGCUAUAAAUAUACCACCAAAGAUAAUAAAGUAUAAAUGCUUAAAAAAUAUACCCUUAGGAGAGAUGGUAUCUUC
rnacentral:lncRNA from 1 species